ACGUAGGGUCCAAGCGUUAAUCGGAAUUACUGGGCGUAAAGCGUGCGCAGGCGGUUGUGCAAGACCGAUGUGAAAUCCCCGGGCUUAACCUGGGAAAUGGAUUGGGGACUGCACGGCUAGAGUGUGUCAGAGGGGGGUAGAAUUCCACGUGUAGCAGUGAAAUGCGUAGAGAUGUGGAUGAAUACCGAUGGCGAAGGCAGCCCCCUGGGUUAACACUCACGCUCAUGCACGAAAGCGUGUUUUUCCCACAG
rnacentral:rRNA from 1 species